rnacentral:rRNA from 1 species
AAUCAACGCUGGCGGCGUGCCUAACACAUGCAAGUCGAACGCUAAAUAGGCUUCAGCCUCAUUUGAAUGUUGAACGGGUGAGUGGCAGCUGGGUGACCUACCUUCUAGUGGGGGAUAACGUCACAAAUCGGUCACUAGUACCCUAUAACAUUCCACUUUUGAUCAGGUGGAUCUUUUGAUGAGGGAUCGCGGGACCUGUCGCGUGUGAAGGGGCCCGCGUCCCAUUAGCUCUAUGGCGGGGUAAUGGCCCACCUGGGCGACCAUCGGUAACCGGGCUGACAGGGCUGACGGCCCGACCAGGACUGAUACACCUGCCCGACUCCUACGACACGUACGGCUAGGAAUCUUGGGAAUGGUUCAAAGCCUGACCCAGCCUGCCGAGUGGGCCAUGAAGCCUUAUGAAUGGCUUCCCCUUUCAUGAGGGAAGAACACUGACCUAACCUCAAGAAGAAGCACCGGCUAACUCCGAGC